UAAUUUAUUUUCUUUAAGCUCUUAUCCAUAACAUGAUUUUUUGAAAGCAUGUAUGUUUGUAUAGUUUUAUCUUUUAUGGGAAUACUUAAUUGUUUUCGAUACACGGUGUUUUAUUAAGGAGCCAUAAUUUGACGUAUAUUUGACGUUCAAUACUGGUUAUGCUCAAUUUUCGGGUUUAUAUAUUAGAGUAUUUAGCAAACAAAUUUUCAACGAUAAUUUCAGACGCCGCCAUAACGGAAUGGACAUCUUCAGCACCUAGUUUAGCUGCUACUAAUGCAGAUGGCACCAUCAUUGCAUCAGAGACUAUUGCCGACAAUUCACCCGUUGGAACAAUUCUCUUUAAAGCAACACCAGUGGCUUCAGGAGGCACAGCCUCUUAUGCCCUAACGACCGAUGCGAAUGGAAAAGGAACUAUUUCUUCAACUGGUGUUGUAACUUUGGCGAUUGAUCAAUUGAUAUACUUCGAGACAACGCCAACACUGGUGUGCGUCGUCGUGUAGAGCACUAGGGACAUACACUGCGAUUGAUCCGGAUGCUGGUGACAUCAUCACAUACUCGAUUGCUUCCAGAGAUACUAAAAACGAAUUCACAAUUGCUACAUCAACAGGCGUGAUAACUGUGGCAACAGGAAAAACAAUUUCUAAGGCUUCAACCGCAACUUACAUCCUGGUAGUUAGUGCAGCCGACAAAGCCGGAUCAUAGGGAUCGACAACGA